AGCUGUGUGUUAGCUGUGUGUUAGCUGUGUGUUAGCCCAGCUGUGUGUUGGUCGUGUCAGCGCAGAGAGCCGUCAGACAGCGGCCCCUGGCCGCAGCAGGGACACUAACCUGCCCGGUGCCGGAGGAUUUAAAGUGAAUGAACCGACGUUUACCUUCUUGCGGUGACUUUAUUCCAACAGCAGCUGAAACUCUCAGAGGAGCGUCAUCAAGCCAGACCGGAAACACUGGGCGGCUCUUCUACUUCUUCUCUCGUUUGACUUCCGGACUGACCAGCUGAGUGAUCCGGUCUCUGGUGGUGGUGCAGCUGUGGACCGAGUCCAGCUUCUCCUCCAGGGUGUCGAUGAAGUCCAGCAGAACAUUCACAACCUCAACCACAGACCUGAAACACAGACCAGAACCACAGACCUGAACCACAGACCUGAACCACAGACCUGGACCACAGACCUGGACCACAGACCAGCUGCGACACUGCUGAUCAGACCUGGUUCACCUGUUUUCUUUGUCAGUGGUUUAUUUUCUGCUGCUCUGAUGUUGCAGCUGAUUCUGAACCUGAGCCUCGUGUUCCAGACGGAGGAUGUGGUCUGUGGCGUCUGUGGCGUUCAGGCUACUCGUGGUUGUGGUUAAUAUGUGGGGGAGUGCCUCUACCUGUGCAGGUGAGCCUGAACCGGCAGGUUGGUGCGACCCAGUGGAGUCAUCAGUCUCUGCCUCAGCCUGUUCUGCUCCUUCAGCAGCUGCUGCAGGUGAUCACAGAACAUCUGCAGCAUCUGGAACCGGCGAGCUGAGGGGGCGGGACAGGGAGUCAUCAGACACAUGGCACAGGCUGAGUCAUGUGACAACCAGGACACGACACUAACACCCACCGAGGGAUCGAACAUGUGUGACGUGGGCGCUCUCCCUCUCCACCUGCAGAAGCUCCGCCUCCAGCUGCAGCUGCAACAGCAGAAGAAGAAGCGACUGUAUAUACAGACGAUCAGUGACUGAAUGUCGCUCAGAUAAACAGGAUGUGACUUCAGACUGACAUGCACCUCAUCCAGCUGUCUCUGUGUUCUGAUUCGCUGCUCAGCCUCUUGCAGGUGAGAGGAGAAGGCAGGACUUUGCCUGGCGGAGAAGUCUAUUUCCUCCUGAGGACAGAAGAGUGAAGCCGUGACCUCUAACCUGAGACAGCGCUCCUCUGGACACACAUCUGGACAACAGGCUCGCGGCCGGAGUCACCGAGAACACGGACAAGUCCCGCUGCAUCUGAAACACACAGUCAUAAACUUGAUUAAUAUUGAUGCCAAAGUGAAGAGAAGCAGCUCUUCAGUCAGAACACACUUCACUUUUCUUCUGUUCGCGGUUUUCGUUCACACAGACGAUAAGAAAUUAUUAAAAUGUCAGAUUCUUCAACGAGA